UACGUAGGGCGCAAGCGUUAUCCGGAAUUAUUGGGCGUAAAGAGCUCGUAGGCGGUUUGUCGCGUCUGCCGUGAAAGUCAGGGGCUCAACUCCGGAUCUGCGGUGGGUACGGGCAGACUAGAGUGAUGUAGGGGAGACUGGAAUUCCUGGUGUAGCGGUGAAAUGCGCAGAUAUCAGGAGGAACACCGAUGGCGAAGGCAGGCCGCUGGGCAUUAACUGACGCUGAGGAGCGAAAGCAUGGGGAGCGAACAGG
rnacentral:rRNA from 1 species